CUCGCUUUGUCUCCCAGGCUGGAGUGCAGUGGUGCCAUCUCGGCUCACUGCAACCACCACCUUCCAGGUUCAAGCAGUUCUCUCACUCAGUCUCCCGAGUAGCUGGAACUACAGGCACCUGCCCCUACACCUGGCUAUUUUUUGUAAUUUUUUUUUUCGUAGAGACAGGGUUUCACCAUGUCGGCCAGGCUGGUUUUGAACUCCUGACCUCAAGUGAUUUGCCUGCCUCAGCCUCCCAACGUUCUGGGACUACAGGUGUGAGCCAAUGAGCCCAGCUCCACCUCUUUCAUGUUUAUUCAUUCUAUAAGAAGCACAGCAGUUCGUAGACUGUCUUCAGGGGCUAUUAAUUACUGGAGCUAUUCUUCACAGGCUUGAGAAGUUAUGCUUGCUCUGAGUCUCUGUAAGUGGAUUCAUUUUUGCUGAGAGUGAGGAAAGUGGGUUAAGAAGAAGGAGUACAUCAUUAUCUCAUGAGUAGAUACUUUCCUGGAAGGAAAUUCAUCAGUUGGUGGACCGUGGAAUUUGGGAAGCCCCGGAGGAAUAUUGGUCUAUUUAUUAAAACGCUGACUUAAUGGUUUAUUCCUGAUGAUGGUUGUGUGGUCAGUAGCUCAUUCUGGGGAGCUACUGGCAGCCUGGACCUAGAGAAGAAGCCUGUUUAUGAACUACAGGUCGAAUAUCCCUAAUCUGAAAAUCUAAAACUUUUUCUAAAAAUUUGUAUUUAUUUUUUUGAGACAGGGUCUUGCCCCUAUUACCCAGGCUGGAGUGCAGUCGUGUGAUCGCGGCUCACUGCAGCCUCGACUUCCCAGGCUCAGCUGAUUCUAUUUUUAGUAGGGAUAGGGUUUUGCCAUGUUGCCCUGGCUGGUCUGGAACUCCUGAUCUAAAACGAUCUGCCCACCUCAGCCUCCCAAAGUGCUGGGAUUACCAGCAUGAGUCACUGUGCCUGGCCUGAAAAUCCAAAACUUUUGGGUGCCCACAUGAGGCUCAAAUAAAGAUCUGUAAUUUCAAAUAAGGGAUAUGUCAUUGGUAGAACAAAGUGAACUGGGUCGCACAGACUUUGGCCUCAUUAACUCCUUGUUACUUACGGUAUAUUGUUUGACGUCGCGUAUUUCUAAGUCUUUGUUUGCAGCCUGAAACCAAAACAUCAAAAGGUCCUUCAAAGAAACAUAAAAUUCUAUAUGUGUCUUAUGGAUAUAUGUUUAAUAUAUCCAUACCUAUAUAUACGGAAAAGUAAUUAUUUGAUGUUAAGGGUAAAGUUGCUGAAAAGUGUCAAUGGCUCUAGAAAUAUUUUGUAUAAAAGGAUCAGGACUAUACAACACAUUUAACUGUUGCAAGUAGAUUUUAUGUCCGCAGAAUAGAAAUAAUCUCAUCCCCAGACACCUCCGGUCAUAUGUUCAGUAAUGCCCCCCACCUGCCAUUAGCCAUAAUCAGGUUCACAGGUGUGUAGUGAGCUGAAGAUAAGACACAUCGGCACAGUGUGCUAAACAUUUUUAUUUGUAAUAAGACUAAAUGAAACCUUUAUUGCCAAUAAUAAACUUACCCAGUGCCCAUGGCUUCUUGGUCCUUGCUGAUCAACACAUAAAAAGCUGAUGCACUUAUUCAUUAAAUUACUUAUUCAUUUGUUUGGGUAAAACAAUAAGCUGAUGCUAAUCUUGGGCUGAAACAACUUUCCUGAACAGGUUAUGUGGGUCAUGAAUUUAUUUUGGACACGAGACCCUUCAAAAAGUCUGCAAAUAUUGAGGCUGUGGAUGUGGCCAAGAGACUCCAGGAUUAUGGAUUUCACGCCCCUACCAUGUCCUGGCCUGUGGCAGGGACCCUCAUGGUGGAGCCCACUGAGUCGGAGGACAAGGCAGAGCUGGACAGAUUCUGUGAUGCCAUGAUCAGCAUUCGGCAGGAAAUUGCUGACAUUGAGGAGGGCCGCGUCGACCCCAGGGUCAAUCCGCUGAAGAUGUCUCCACACUCCCUGACCUGCGUUACAUCUUCCCACUGGGACCGGCCUUAUUCCAGAGAGGUGGCAGCAUUCCCACUCCCCUUCGUGAAACCAGAGAACAAAUUCUGGCCAACGAUUGCCCGGAUUGAUGACAUAUAUGGAGAUCAGCACCUGGUUUGUACCUGCCCACCCAUGGAAGUUUAUGAGUCUCCAUUUUCUGAACAAAAGAGGGCGUCCUCUUAGUCCUGUCUCCCUAAGUUUAAAGGACUGAUUUGAUGCCUCUCCCUAGAGCAUUUGAUAAGCAAGAAAGAUUUCAUCUCCCACCCCAGCCUCAAGUAGGAGUUUUAUAUAAUGUGUAUAUCUCUGUAAUCUCUGUCAAGGUAAAUGUAAAUACAGUAGCUGGAAGGAGUCGAAGCUGAUGGUUGGAAGACGGAUUUGCUUUGGUAUUCUGCUUCCACAUGUGCCAGCUGCCUGGAUUGGGAGCCAUUUUGUGUUUUGCGUAGAAAGUUUUAGGAACUUUAACUUUUAAUGUGGCAAGUUUGCAGAUGUCAUAGAGGCUAUCCUGGAGACUUAAUAGACAUUUUUUUGUUCCAAAAGAGUCCAUGUGGACUGUGCCAUCUGUGGGAAAUCCCAGGGCAAAUGUUUACAUUUUGUAUACCCUGAAGAACUCACUUUUCCUCUAAUAUGCCUAAUCUGUAAUCACAUUUCUGAGUGUUUUCCUCUUUUUCUGUGUGAGGUUUUUUUUUAAAUC
rnacentral:sRNA from 1 species